rnacentral:ncRNA from 1 species
GCCUUUUUAUUGGCUUAUAGCAGACUUAUACAUGCAAGUAUCCUCGCCCCAGUGAGAAUGCCCUCUAUAUCAACCCCUGAUCAAAAGGUGCUGACAUCAAGCUCGCUACCCACACGCAGCUCACAACGUCUUGCUCAACCACACCCCCACGGGACACAGCAGUAAUUAAAAUUAAGCAGUAUAAACGAAAGUUUGACUAAGCCAUGCUAUACUCCAGGGUUGGUAAAUUUCGUGCCAGCCACCGCGGUCACACGAUUGACCCCAGUCAAUAAAACACGGCGUAAAGCGUGAUUAAGGUAAACAAUAAAAUAAGACUAAAUAUAUGCUAAGCUGUAGAAAGCCCUGGCAUACACUAAAAUAACUUACGAAAGUAGUCUUAAAAUCCCUGAACACACGAUAGCUAAGAUCCAAACUGGGAUUAGAUACCCCACUAUGCUUAGCCCUAAACAUAAAUCGUCAACAAACAAGAACAUUCGCCAGAGGACUACUAGCAACAGCUAAAAACUCAAAGGACUUGGCGGUGCUUUAUAUCCCCCUAGAGGAGCCUGUUCUGUAAUCGAUAAACCCCGCUAAACCUCACCACCCCUAGCAUUUACCAGCCUAUAUACCGCCAUCUUCAGCAAACCCUACCAAGGCCUCAUAGUAAGCACAAAUAUGAUACAUAAAAACGUUAGGUCAAGGUGUAGCCUAUGGGGCGGAAAGAAAUGGGCUACAUUUUCUAACCCCUAGAACACCCACGGUAGCCUUUAUGAAACCUAAAGACCCAAGGCGGAUUUAGUAGUAAGUUGGGAAUAGAGAGCCCAACUGAAUAGGGCAAUAAGGCACGC